GAUGAAGAACGUAGCGAAAUGCGAUACUUGGUGUGAAUUGCAGAAUCCCGUGAACCAUCGAGUCUUUGAACGCAAGUUGCGCCCGAAGCCAUCAGGUUGAGGGCACGUCUGCCUGGGCGUCACAUAUCGUUGCUCGAUGCCUAUCGCAUUGCGAUAGGACUUAGGGCGAAUGAUGGCUUCCCGUGAGCGUUGUUGCCUCGCGGUUGGUUGAAAAUCGAGUCCUUGGUAGGGUGUGCCAUGAUAGAUGGUGGUCGAGUUAGCACGAGUCCGAUCAUGUGCAUGCUCCCCAAAAUAUGGCCUCUGUGACCCACACGCGUCUUUUGACGCUCAUGACGAGACCUCAGGUCAGGCGGGGCUACCCGCUGAAUUUAAGCAUAUCAAUAAGCGGAGGA
rnacentral:misc_RNA from 1 species